GACGAACGCUGGCGGCGCGCUUAACACAUGCAAGUCGAACGGAAAGGCCUGCUUUCCCUUGUGGAUUGCGGGUACUCGAGUGGCGAGCGGGUGAGUAACACGUGAGUGAUCUGCCCCCAACUUGGGUAUAAGCCUGGGAAACUGGGUCUAAUUCCCGAUAGGACUGCAGGGUGGUGCCUGUGGUGGAAAACGAUUUUCUAGUGGUUGGGGAUGAGCUCGCGGCCUAUCAGCUUGUUGGUGGGGUAAUGGCCUACCAAGGCGGCGACGGGUAGCCGGCCUGAGAGGGUGGACGGCCACAUUGGGACUGAGAUACGGCCCAGACUCCUACGGGAGGCAGCAGUGGGGAAGAUUGCACAAUGGGCGGAAGCCUGAUGCAGCGACGCCGCGUGGGGGAUGACGGCCUUCGGGUUGUAAACUCCUUUCGACCGCGAGGAAGCCACCUGGUUGGAAGGGUGGUGACGGUAGUGGUAGAAGAAGCACCGGCUAACUACGUG
rnacentral:rRNA from 1 species